CAUAACCAGGUGCAUGCAUACUCGAGGGCUCUUUCACACGAGACGGCACAGACCCACGCAUGUCUCAUGUCUCGCCCGUCAUCGUCGUCUUCUCCUCCUCAGAUUUAUUACGACAUAUAUAUUAGCUAUCUCCACCAUCUCUUCAUUCAGAGCCAGAAAUAAAGGCAACACCGACCAAGCACAAGCUAGCUUCUUGCAUCUAUCCAUAAUGGACCGGAGCAACAUUGGAAGCCUUGGGUUGGUGGCGGUGGUGGCUGUGGUGUCGACUAGCAUCAUCCUUGUAUCCUGCCACCUCCGUCGCCGCCUCCAAGAUGAUACCAAACUCAACAAGAUCGCCGAGCAACAACGGCAGAGCAAGACGACAAUGAAGGAGGUGGGGUUCAUGGACGAUGUGGCGGAGGAUCUCUCAUCGGAUGAAGAGGAGUGUCCCCGUCGACUGGGUAAGACCGCCAUUGGUGUCCCCAUCCAACCAUCGCUACGCAGGGUCCCUCGAUUCAACAAUUUGGCAUUCGAGUUUAAUUAAUUAAUUAAUUAAUUAGAUUGUAUUGUAGCAAGUCGGGGCACAAGAAAUAAAGCAGCAUUUUGCUUGCACAUCCAGUCGAGUGAAUUAUUAUUAUUACCAUCUCAGUUAUAAUAAUUAAGGUGUUUAAUUUGGCAAGCAUGGAGAAUGGAGGGUACUUGGGGACCCAAUACAUUCUUGUGAUAA